CACCACUGAUCCUACUGUAGGAGGUUCUGGUACCAUCCUACUACAUACACCACUGAUCCUACUGUAGAGGUUCUGGUACCAUCCUACUACAUACACCACUGAUCCUACUGUAGAGGUUCUGGUACCAUCCUGUUACACUACAUACACCACUGAUCCUACUGUAGGAGGUUCUGGUACCAUCCUACUACAUACACCACUGAUCCUACUGUAGAGGUUCUGGUACCAUCCUGUUACACUACAUACACCACUGAUCCUACUGUAGAGGUUCUGGUACCAUCCUGUUACACUACAUACACCACUGAUCCUACUGUAGAGGUUCUGGUACCAUCCUACUACACUACAUACAUCACUGAUCUACUGUAAUCCGUAGAGGGUUGACAGUCUACUGUAAUCCGUAGAGGGUUGACAGUCUACUGUAAUCCGUAGAGGGUUGACGGUCUACUGUAAUCCGUAGAGGGUUGACGGUCUACUGUAAUCCGUAGAGGGUUGAC
ensembl:lncRNA